CUCUAAACAGUGAAUUAAUAUAACUUGUAACAUUGACUUGCAACAUUUAGGCUGAAUGGCUGAUUUGAAAAGUCACUAACACUCCUGAGAAACAAUCUCUUGCACUGAGGGACCUUUAGACUCAGAGAGCUCGUGUUGUGUACUUACAGGAAACACAUUAUAGGGAGGGUCCUGCCUUAAAAAUGACCAAUCAUAUUUACUCCCAAG